rnacentral:tRNA from 2 species
GCGCCCGUAGCUCAGUUGGAUAGAGUACAGCCCUCCGAAGGCUGGGGUCAGAGGUUCAAGUCCUCUCGGGCGCGCCA